rnacentral:rRNA from 1 species
UACAGAGGUCCCAAGCGUUGUUCGGAUUCACUGGGCGUAAAGGGUGCGUAGGCGGUUGGGUAAGUCUGUCGUGAAAUCUCCGAGCCUAACUCGGAAACUGCGUCGGAUACUAUUCAACUCGAGGAAUGGAGGGGAGACUGGAAUUCUCGGUGUAGCAGUGAAAUGCGUAGAUAUCGAGAGGAACACCAGUGGCGAAGGCGAGUCUCUGGACAUUUCCUGACGCUGAGGCACGAAAGCCGGGGGAGCAAACGGG